AUUUCCUUCUUCAACCAAAGACAAUGAGUUAUUCUGCAAAGUGUGUGGAAAAGUUGUAGUUUAACUGCGAAAAAAAAAUCACACUUUGAACAACACUGCAGUGGCGAUGCACAUAAAAAGAACGAGAAUAAAUCCAGUAAACAUACUUUAUUAAACAUUUGUUCCGACAAUGAUUUUACGAAAUUUUGCACCGAUUUAUGUAGGGCAUUUACCGCAGCAAAUAUUCCAUGGAAUAAAGUUAGUUGUCCUGAGUUUAAAAAUUUUAUGCAUAAAUAUACAGGAAGGCAUUUACCCUCAGAAAACACUGUGAGAAAACAUUAUUUACCAAAAGAUUACGAUAUGGUAACUAAACAAAUUAGAAAUUCUGUUGGCAAUAAUGAUAUAUGGAUUAGCGUCGAUGAGAGGAGGGACAGAUUAGGAAGAUGCAUAGCCCAUUUAAUAAUUGGAAAGUUAUCUUCUGAAGAAGCUGGCCGUCCAUUUCUACUAGCUUUGAAGCAGCUUGAUAAAACUAAUAGCAACACAAUCUCGAGAUUUAUAAACGAAUCAUUGGCUUUAUUGUGGCCAAAAGGAACUGAACAUAAAAAAGUUAAAUGGUUUGGAUCAGAUGGUGCUUCAUACAUGAUCAAAACUGGUACUAAUUUGAAGGUGUUUUAUGAAAAUAUAACACACUUAACAUGUAUGGCAAAUGGGUUACAUUUAAUGUCUGAAACAAUUAGACUGUAAAAGUACUAAUAAGAGUAGAAUUUUAUAAAAACAGUUUACCAAAUACACCUCUCCCACCUGAACCUGUAUUAACCAGGUGGGGCACUUGGAUUCAAGCAGCACUUUUUUAUGCAGAACAAUUUGAUGUUUUAAAACAAGUUGUAUUGUCAUUUGAAGCCACAGAUGCACAAAGCAUUAAAAAAACUCAAGAAUUCCUGAAUAAAGCAAACGUUAAAAAUGAACUCUUGUACAUUAAA